GGGAAGGGGAAAAUCAGAAAAUUGGGGACGCAUUUGUUUCUUGGGAAAAAGUUGCUUGUUUUUGUGGCUUGAUUCUGUCCAGAGUUGGCUGUUUUCUGCAGCUGUGAAGAAAGCUUUUUGAGGAGAAACGAUUUCAGGAAAGUAUUAUUUCUCUUCUCCUUUCUAUUUUUUGUUUCCUUUCCCUGGAGAUGAGAUUCUUCAAAUCCCGUGCUUUCUUGCUAUGCAUAUUUGCUUUCAAUAUCCAUUAUUUGCUUUCAAUUUUGACCUAAUGGCAAAAUUUCAGCGAAUUUGUCCGAUUCAUGUCUUUGCUUUCAGUGGGUUUAGACCUAGUUAUAUUGAAUUUUGCUUCCAAUUUAGUACCGAUGGUGUAGAUUCCCUUUUUUUUUUUUUUUUUAAAUUUGUUUGAACACUCAUAAUUAAUGUGUCUACUUUUUACAUGUUAGAAACUGAAGGUCUUAGAGUGUUGAUGCAUAUUGAAAUUUAAAAAAAAAGAGAAAUAAGACGAAAUUAGUUAGCAGUUGUUUCUCCAUGGUUGUUUCAAGCACUUUUGUACCCCUACAAAGAUUUCAUAUCCAUAUCAGUAGGCCAAGAAUUCACAAAGCGGUAUACGAAGGCUGUGAGUUGACCUAUGUAGUCCCUUAAUCCUCGAAACAUGUAUGAAUGAAUUCCUGAGAUUAAAACAACAUCAAACUCAAAUUUGCAUUCUUGAUUCUUCGAAUUUAAAUUUUGGCUCUAUUGAAAGCCCUUCAGUUUAUUACUAUCCGUUGCACCUUCUUAAGUGCAAAAGGAGCCAAUUGUGCAUGCUUAUCUCCUUUUUUCUGAAAAUUGAAAUCUAGUGAUUUUUUAGGCCCACACUACUAUAGGCAUCACCCACUUAAUUCCAGUAAUUUCAUUAGUCUAUAUCAACAAUCUGCGGCCAUCUCCCAAUUAGAUUUUAAAUUGUCUAGUGUGAUUUUGUGUUGUCUUCGUUGGGUUUCAGCCUUUAAUGUUAUGUGGCAUAAUUCAAAAACAUAAACUGAUCUCAUGGACUUAUUGUUCACUUUGUUUCAUAUUUCAGUGUCAAAAUGACUAAAAUCAAUACAAGUAUUAAUCAAAGAAUUUAAAGCAGGCUGCAUGUAAUUUUUUACUAACCAUUUUGGACUCAGAUAGUGUAGUCGCUUGACUCAAAGCACCUUGUGGUUUAAAUGACGUGCCGUUUGCCCUAUAUGGCUUAUUUCAUCGACUCAUAUACCUUUCUAUUCGAUAGGGAAUGGGUUCUUUUUUUUGUAAGCCAAAAAGGGAUAGAUGGUACCAUAUGGAGUUUUUGAGUCUUUCAAGUACACUAUCAGCGCCCAGAAUUCUUUAGUGAAUAAUUUCUUUGUUGCCUACAUUAAAAUCUUUGGCUCAUACUUUUAAUGAUUUUAGACAUGUUGAGACUGAAAUAUCAAACGUAACUGCACGAUCAGUACUUGUGUCAGUUUAUAUUUUUGAACUAUGCUGCUUAUCAGUAGAGAUUGAAACCCCAUAGAGAGAAUAAUGAAUCAGACUAGAAAAUUUUAGUUCUGAUUUCGAAAUGGCUGUAGAUUGUUGUUAGAGACAAAUGAAAUUUUUGGAAUGAAAUGGCUGUUGAUUGCUGUUUUUUUUUUCAAAUUUGUUUGAAGACUCAUAAUUGUUGUGUCUACGUUUUACAUUGUAUGUUAGAAACUGAAGGUCUUAGAGUGUUCUGUCUACCUCUCUGUUUUGGUUCUGGUUUAAGCAAUAUUACCAUAAUCUUUUAUGUUGAUGGAAUUUGAAAUUUAAAAAAAGAGAAAAUAAAAUGAAAUUAGUUAGCAGCUGUUUCUCCAUGGUUGUUUCAUGCUUGAAGGGUAGUCAUAUGGAGUUCUGUAUGGUGGCUCUUUAUUCUCUCAUUUGGGUUUUGAUAUCUCAUGGUAAACGGCAUAAUGCAGAAACAUAAAUUUAGCUCGUAGACUGCUUGUUAAUGUAUUUUUUUCGGUAUUUAUAAUAUCAAGACAAUUAACAAAAGCCAGUGAAAUAUGAAUUAAGGAAUAUAGUGUUGGCAACUAGUAAAAGAUUGACUAGAUUUUAUGGCCGCAGAUAGUGGAGGUGCUCGAAUCACAAAGCUCCGAUGGUUUAAAUACUGUACCAUCUGCCUUUCAUGGCUUGUUUUAUCUACUCGUAAAUCUAUCCAUUUGGUGGGUUAAUGGGUACUUUUUUUCGUAAGCUGCAAAGGGGUAGAAGGUAUAUUUUUAAACCAAAUGGAGCUUUUGAGUCCCGCAACUAGACUAUCCAGGGCUGAAAAGUUAACUUAAUACUUAUUGCUUACUUUUAACACUUUGAUUAGUUUUACUAACGCUAAUAAUUUUUAGUUUGAAGUAUGGAGAACUUUAGAUUUUCUGUUGCAUGGUCUGUUCUCACUGUUGAAUUGUACAAUUUGUCUUUUCUUGCUUUAUUUUUGCAUCAGCUGUCUUUUGUUCUGCUUAGUACACUUGUGAAAGACAUGUAGCUUGAUUACAAUAGUGCCGCCCAGGCAUGUUCUGUAGUAAUUUGUCUUGUGAAUGGUGGUAUUCCUUUGUCAUAUUGCAUUUGAUAUUUAACUGAUCUUGGUGAUUAUAUGGGGAUUCUAGAAAAAAAAAAGGAAGAGAUUUGUUUGAGUAGCUAAAGACUUAGAAUGGAUUGCUAAUAAUUUCUUUAGUUGUUAACUGGCAACAAAACUGUUGCUGCUUUCAUUUAGGCUUUGAACUUUUGCUUGUGACAAUCCACAUGAGCCACUUUUGGUUUCACUGUAUAUCAUCUGCCCAAUUGUUGGGUAAAAAGUAUACUUUUGGUUUCGCUUUUGGUUUUACCCAAUUGUUGGGUAAAAAGUAUAUGUUUGCCAGUCAACAGUAUCUCUACUUGUUUCUAGCUUCCCUCUUUUGUCAAUGAGGAAUUCCUGAAUGAAAUCCUACUACCAUUCUUAAAUGAAUAGGCCUCUCUUUUCCCUCCAGGUUUCCUUUCAGAUGAGACAACAGAUUCUAGCUUUGUUGCUGAUUUCUCCAUUUGCUCCUACUUUUUCCUUGCAGGAAAUUACUUUAACAAACUUGUUUCCUUCCCUUUUCCUUUUCUUUUAUCUUUUUUUUUGGAAUCCUUGGUUUCUUCACUGUUAUACUUUCAAUUCUGUUCAUCUGAUGCCCAUUUGUUCUUCAUACUUAAAUAGGAGUCAAUCUGGGUAUACCCUCUUGCUGAAAAGUGUAAUUUCAUAGUAUAGUUGUAUAUGCAUGGUUGUCUUCUACUUCAAGGUAGGAGUUGGGCUUCUUAUGGUUUUGUUUUUUGUCCUGCUUUUCCUUCUUGUAUUUGAUUGUCCAUGCUCAAUAAAUACAUGUUAGAAAUUGAAAUAGAAAGAUAUACUCCUCGGAGGACCUGAUUUUUGAACUCUUCUUGUAGGUUUAGAAUUUAUUUUACCCAUUUUUCUAUAUAUCCAUAUAUCUUUCUGGUUAUUGUGAAAUCAUUUAAAGAAGAAGAAAAAAAAAAGAAACUUCCAGACCUCUUAAUAUGGACAUAGGUGAUUUAUUAUUCAUUAACUGGCAAAUAGGAUGAACAGUUAUUACUAUUAAGUUCUGCAAUUUCGACUUUCAAAUACCUGCACGAUCUGUUCUCUCCUAUAGGAGUUCUUAUUUCUUAGAAUUCCUUUACAACUCGAAUUCAGAAGAUACAUUGGAGGCAAAAAAGUAUCAUGAUAUAACUGAUGCUUCGAUAUGACUUAGCAAUUCUCUAUGCUGUUCAUUUGGACUAUUGGACAUUGUUGUGCUUUCUUUGACAUAGCUUCUGAAAGUCAUAUCUCAGGGAAGAACUUUCAGCUUCCUGACAGCCCAGAGUGAUGGGCCUUUCUAUCCAUCAUGACUUGUCUUCUACUCUGAUUUUCCUCUUCAAUUUUCUUCAAAAUUUUUCAUGGACUAAUUACUCUUCCCAAGACCCUGUCUUUUGGUUUAAUGUCUUAGGUAAAGCCCCCCUAUUUAGUAGGUGAUAUCCAAUUUUCCCAUUUAUGGCUUAUCUUCUUGUAAACCUUUGAGUAUUUCCUAGAGACAUAAUGGAAUAGAAUAGCAUAUCACAAGCACUUUUGUACCCCUACAAAGAUUUCAUAUCCAUAUCAGUAGGCCAAAAAUUCACAAAGUGGUAUACAAAGGCUGUGAGUUGACCUAUGAAGUCCCUCCAAUCCUCUAAACACGUAUGAAUGAACUCCUGAGAUUAAAACAACAUCAACUUCAAAUUUGCAUUCUUGAUUCUUUGAAUUUAAAUUUUGGCUCUAUCAAAAGCCCUUCAGUUUAUUACUAUCCGUUGCACCUUCUUAAGUGCAAGAGGAGCCAAUUGUGCAUGCCUAUCUCCUUUUUUCUGAAAAUUGAAAUCUAGUGAUUUUUUUGGCGCACACUACUAUAGGCAUCACCCACUUAAUUCCAGUAAUUUCAUUAGUCUAUAUCAACAAUCUGCAGCCAUCUCCCAAUUAGAUUUCAAAUUGUCUAAUGUUAUUUUUUGUUGUCUUCGCUGGGUUUCAGCCUUUAAUGUUAUGUGGCGUAAUUCAAAAACAUAAACUGAUCUCAUGGACUGAUUGUUGCACUUUGUUUCAUAUUUCAAUGUCAAAAUGAUUAAAAUCAAUACAAGUAUUAAUCAAAGCAUUUAAAGCAGGCUGCAUGUAAUUAUUUACUAAACAUUUUGGCCUCAUAUAGCGUAGUUGCUUGACUCAAAACACCUUGUGGUUUAAAUGACGUGCCGUUUGCCCUAUAUGGCUUAUUUCAUCUACUCAUAUACCCUUCUAUUAGAUAGGGAAUGGGUUCUUUUUUUGUAAGCCGAAAAGGGAUAGAUGGUACCAUAUGGAGUUUUUGAGUCUUUCAAAUACACUAUCAGCGGCUAGAAUUCUUUAGUGAAUAAUUUCUUUGUUGCCUACGUUAAAAUCUUUGGCUAAUAAAUUUAAUGAUUUUAGACAUUUUGAGACUGAAAUAUGAAAGCUAACUGCCCAAUUAGUACUUGUGUCAGUUUAUAUUUUUAAACUAUGCUGCUUAUCAGUAGAGAUUGAAACCCCACAGAGAGAAUAAUGAAUCACAGUAGAAAAUUUUAGUUUUGAUUUAGAAAUGGCUGUAGAUUAUUGUCAGAUACAAAUGAACUUUUCAGAAUGAAAUGGGUAAUGCCUAGAGUAGUGAGGGCCUAAGAUGGCUGGAUUUUAAUUUCUAGAAAAGAGGAGAUAGGUGCGCAUUUGACUUCUCUAGAAAUGAUAGUGCCAUGGAUACAGACAAAGGCUUUCAUUAGAGCGAAAGUUACAAUUUUAAGAAUCAACAACGCAAUUUUGUUUUUGAUAUUAUUUGGGUCUAAAGAGUUUGCUCUUGUGUGUUCCAUUUCUUGGAAGGAUUUCGCUGGUCAACUAGACAGGGCUUUGAAUACCUCUUAGGUGAGGAUGUUGUAGUAUAGUGUUUAAGUUGAAUAUGCAUGAGGAACUAAGUAACGCAUCAUUUUGGAUUUCUGAGAUGUUUAUGGCCUUUGUCUUGUCUAGAUGAGUUACUUUGAAUAUAUCUGUGGAUUUGUUACAAUUUUGAGGUUUGUGGUCAAAUAAAUGGUUAAGAAAUAAAUUUUAAUUAGAAACUCUGAAACUCAGGUUUUAGAAAUUGCAGACAUUUGCAAGAAAGCAUAUUGUGCUUUGAUUCAAGUGGAGGAUGUUUUUGACCAUUCCACAAGGUUUCUGGUUAAGAGUGCUCAGAAUAUACUAGGUUAGAAAGAAGUUAGGUAGAUUUGUAGAGUUUUGCCCUUUCAUGCAAAUAUAGGAUUCUAAUUAGGGUAUCAAUCGGAUAUUCAAAUGGAGAAAGAAGGAACAAAGUAUAUCUGCAUGUUGUUAGAUUCUAAUUAGUGUAUGUGGGUUACUUAAGAGUUUAAUUGUGGGUUGUUGAAUAUUUGGAGUAUUGCCAAUUAAUUUUAUGAUAAAUGAGCUAUGUUCUGGUCAAACAAAUGGUGAAAAGAAAAAAGGCAUAUAGAACAGAAAGUUAGGUUUAAGAAAUCCCAUGAAUUGCAAGUCAGCAAGGUUCAUUUGGAGCCUUUUUUAACCAUUCUACAAGGCUUAAGGGAAUGAUUAACCAAAUAAUACUAGGUUUAAGAAAUCCCAAGAAUUGCAAGUCAGCAAGGUUCAUUUGGAGUCUUUUUUAGCCAUUCUACAAGGCUUAAGGCAAUGAUUAACCAAAUAAUAUUAGGUUUGUUUAGAGGUUUGUUGAUGCUGCACAAAGAUUGGUUCCUUAGUAGGCAAUUAGAGGACUUGUACACAAGGACGCAUUGCAUUUUGGAUUCUAUCUAAUUUAGGUGAAUUACUUGGGAUUUAUCUGUGGGUUUGUUUUCACAAAUUUUGAGCAUUGUUAAUGAUUUUAUGGUAAAUAAGUAGCACUGGGGUGAAGAAAACAGAGAAAGUUAAAAUGGUAUAGGGGAUCUGAGACUCUACUUCUAGAAAUUUCAGAGAUUUGGAAAAAAACCAUAUUCCAUCAAGGUCCAUUUAGAGGUUGAUUUUGACCAUUCUUCAAGGUUUAAGGCAAAAGUAACUAGACAUACUAGCCUUAGUAAGAAGUUAGGUGAAUUGUGUAGACUUGUCCUUUGCAAGCAUUUACAGGAUUUUCAUGCACUGAUGUUGCACUUUAGCAUUUGAUUUGAGUAUGGAAAUGAACGAUGGGCUGAAAAUAGUAUAUGCAUGUUUUCUUGGAUGUUGAUAUUUUGUUGGACUAAUUAAUCUAGAUGGGUUACUUGGAAUCUGUUUGGGUUUAUUAAAAAUCUUCAAUAUUGUUAAUGAAUUUUAUUUAUGGUGAUAAGUACUGUUCUGGAGAAAAGAAAAUAGGUGAAUUAGAAACUAAAAUUUAGGUUUUAGAAAUCCCAACAAUUACAAGAAAGCAUUUGCAGGAAGGUUCAUUUGGAGGUUGUAUUUUCAUCAUUAAACAGGGCUUAAGGCAGAGAGUUACCAGUUUGUACUGGGUUUGCUGCUAAGGAAACGAUUAUGCUUAGAAAUUAGCUGGCUUUGUACCGAGUUUGGUUCCUUUGCAGAUGAGUUGCUUGGGAUUUAAAUUGAAAAUCCAGAUGGUGACACAAGGAACUAAGUAUUGCAUCUUCUUGAUUCUAUCUAAUUUAGAUGAGUUACUUGGGAUUUAUCUGGGGGUGUGUGACUAAUUUUUAAGUGUUGUCAAUGAUAUUAUGGUAAGUAAUUUUGUGGUGGAAUUAGUGGAGAAAAUGAUGAUGGUAUUUGAACAAAAAGAAAAACUGAAUUGUUCUGUCAUAUCUUUUGUUUUGGACUCUGUACAACAUUUAUACAAAUGGAAUUUGACUUUUGUCAAUUCCAUGAAAUCUGUAAUUUCCUAAAAAUUAGGAGCUAAUUUAUUCUAUCCUAAAAUACAUUAGGAGUAAAUUAUUCUAUCCUAAAAUAGAGCAAAAAUCAUGGGAUAUAGCAGAAAUCAUGGGAUAUACAUAGAAAAAGAUAUUCUAGAUUUUCAACACUCCCCCUCAAGAUGGUGAAUAGAUAUUUUCCAUUCCCAUCUUGCAUGUAAUGUCUUCAAAGUUGGAAGUUGGCAUUCCCUUAGUUAAGACAUCUGCCAAUUGAUUAUUUGAUGCUACAUAUGGAGUGCAAAUCAUGCCACUGUCCAGCUUUUCUUUAAUAAAAUGUCUAUCAACUUCGAUGUGCUUUGUGCGAUCAUGUUGCACUGGAUUGUGUGCAAUGUUGAUGGCAGACUUGUUGUCGCAAUAGAGUUUCAUAGGUCUUCCCACUUGAUUUUAAGAUCAUCAAGUAUUAUUUUGAGCCAUAGCAAUUCACAAACUCCAUGAGCCAUAGCUCUAAACUCUGCUUCCGCACUUGAUCUUGCAAUAACCGAUUGCUUCUUACUCCUCCAUGUCACUAGGUUCCCACCAAGAAAUGUACAAUAUCCUGAAGUUGAUCUACGAUCUACAACAAAACCUGCAUAAUCAGCAUCAGUAUAUGCCUCUAUGAGCAAUCCUUCAUUUUUCUUGAACAAAAUUCCUCUACCCGGUGUCCCUUUGAGGUAGGAUAGAAUUCUAUUGACAGCCUGCAAGUGUUUCUCUCUUGGAUCAUGCAUAAAUUGGCUUACUAAACUUACAGCAAAUGCUAUGUCCGGCCUUGUAUGGGACAAAUAUAUCAGUUUCCCAACCAACCGCUGAUAUCUUCCCUUAUCUACUAUGCUAUCAUCCUUCUCUUCAUUCAAUCUCAAGUUAGGCUCAUGGGUGUGCUUGCUACCUUGCAUCCAAGAUUGCCUGUUUCUUUAAGCAAGUCUAAGACAUACUUUUGUUGGGAAACAAAGAUGGCUUUACUUGAGUAUGCCACCUCAAUGCCUAAAAAAUACUUCAGCCUCCCUAGUUCUUUAAUUUCAAACUCCUUUGCUAAGCACUUUUUGAGUGUUUCUCUUUCAAUUGGAUCAUUCCCGGUGAUGAUGAUGUCAUCUACAUAUACAAGUAGAGCUGUAACACCUCCUUUUGAAUAUUUUAUGAACAAAGUAUGAUCUCCUUGACUUUGUUUGUAUUGCAUUGCUAGCAUCACUUUAGUAAAUCUUCCGAACCAAGCCCUUGGCGAUUGUUUUAAUCCAUAUAAAGCUUUCUUUAACCUGCACACUUUCUUUUCAAAAAACAUUUUAUUGAAAUCCGGUAGGGGUUCCAUGUACACCUCUUCUUCUAAAUCCCCAUGUAAGAAUGCAUUCUUAACAUCAAAUUGCUGUAAACACCAACCAAAGUUAGCGGCUAAAGACAAAAGAACACGCACAGUAUUCAUUUUUGCAACGGGUGCAAAGGUCUCUUGGUAAUCUAUCCCAUAUGUCUGUGUAUAUCCUUUUGCGACCAACCGAGCUUUAUGCCUUUCUAAUGAACCAUCAGCUCUAUAUUUCAAAGUAAACACCCAUUUACACCCCACUGUUUUCUUUCCUUUGGGCAGGUUUACAAUUUCCCAAGUCUUAUUUCUCUCUAGGGCAUUCAUUUCCUCUUUUAUAGCAUGUAACCAGUUCUUAUUAAGUGCCUCUUGUAGUGUUUGUGGGAUUGAAAUGGAGUUGAUGGUGGUAAGGAAAGUUUUAUGUUGUGGAGAGAGUCUAUGGAAAGACACGAAAUUUGAGAUUGGAUGCUUAGUGCAUUCUCGUGUUCCUUUUCGAACAGCAAUAGGCAGGUCUAAAUCAUUAAAUUCACAAGAAGCAGAGUCAGAUUGAACACACAAAGGAACAGAAUUUUCAGUACCUGAUUGUGGUUCAGAUUCUUGGAUUUGCACAGGUUCAGAAAUAUGAACUUUCUUCCUUGAGUAGACCUUGAGUGGUGUAGUUGGAUUUAAACCAGAUUUUCCCUCAGCUCCAAGAUCAGGGUCAAUUUCUUUACUGGCAUGUUCAACUUCAAAUUCAGGUUCAGGUUCACUGCUAGUAUGUUCUCCUUUAGAAUUUGGUGUAUGGUCAGGCUUGAAAGACUUUAAGUUUAGUGUAGGACUUUGAAGAUCAAAGAGAAAUUCCUUAUCUUCCCAAGAACUAUCCCCCUGGGGAUGAGGAUUGUUACUUUGAGAGUAAGGUUCAUUUUCAACAAAUGUGACAUCCAUGGAGGUAAAAAAAUUUUUUGAAGGAGGAUGAUAACACUUAUAUCCUUUCUUUGUGUUUGAGUAUCCCACAAAAAUACAUUUUAAAGCUCUUGGAUCAAGUUUCCCUCUUUGGUGUGCAUGAACAUGUACAAAAGCAACACAACCAAACACUUUUGGUGACAAUGUGCAAGAGACAUUAAAAUCAGGAUAAAAAACAGAAAGAGCAGCAAUGGGACUUUGAUUAUUUAGUACUUUUGAAGGUACUCUAUUUAUCAAAUGUGCAGCAGUUAAAACAGCCUCCCCCCAAAAAGUUUUUGGAACUUUAUGUUGAAACAAAAUUGCUCGAGUCACAUUGAGUAAAUGUCUAUUUUUUCGUUCAGCAAUCCCAUUUUGUUGGGGUGUAUCUACACAAGAUGACUCAUGUAUUAUACCCUCUUUUUGGAAAAAAGAUGAGAGAAUUUGAUUAAAAUAGUCUCUUGCAUUAUCAGAUCUUACUCUUUUAAUCAAACUUCCAAAUUGUGUACAAAUCAUUUUAUGAAACAUUGGAAAAAUAUUGCUUACUUCUGAUUUUUCUUUCAUAAGAAAUAACCAAGUAGUUCUAGUACAAUCAUCAAUGAAUGUGACAAACCAUUUUGCUCCAGAAAUACUAGAAAUUCUACAAGGCCCCCAAAUAUCAGUAUGUAUCAAAGAGAAAGGUCUAGUAGAUCUUGUAUUACUCAAUGGAAAUGAUAGUCUAUGAUGCUUAGCAAUUUCACAUGUAUCACAAUGAAAACUACUAACAUCUUCAUUCUUGCAAAAGUGAAGGAAACAUGCUUUUAAGUAGAAUAAAAGAUGGAUGACCAAGACGGAAAUGAUGAAGCCAAAUUUCAGAUUUAUUAUUUGAGGAGCAGGUGAGGGAUAACUGAUUUUUGUUCUCCUUGUUGCCACUCAUCUCCUCAAGGUAAUAAAGCCCAUCAUUCACCUUAGCAAGUCCAAUCGUCCUCCCCAUAACCAAAUCCUGAAAAACACAGUGAGUAGAAUAGAAAAUUACUCUACAGUUCAGAUCUUUGGUAAUUUGAUGGAUGGAUAUGAGAUUGGAGGACAACUUUGGGACAUGUAACACAUUAUUUAGGGACAAAGAAUUUGAUAGAUUUACUGUCCCUUGGCCUGCAACAGUUAUAGGAGAUCCAUCCGCAACAGUAAUUUUUCUAUUUUCAGGACAUGGGUUGUAUGUUCUAAAUCUGAUUGGGUUGUGAGUCAUAUGGUCAGUAGCUCCUGAGUCGAUGACCCAAGAGCCUAGAGAAGACAUGCUUGAGGCACUUAAAGCAUAAGAGUUAAGGUACUUACCUGAUUGAGCCAAUGAACACGUACUAGAGGACUUUUCAAGGGAAUUUUGGAGGUUUCUUAGCUUUUCGAUUUCUUCUUUCUUGAAUUCUCCCAUACCAGCUUGGUUGGAUUUUUCUUGUGUUUGGUCUUCUCCAGCAGUUAAGUGGGCUUUUCCCCCUUUGAAUCCUCCUUUACGACUAAGGACUUGUUCCUUUCCAUGGAGUUUGAAGCAAUCAUCUCGCGUAUGGCGUGAUUUUUUGCAGUACGUGCACCAAAUUGUGUCUUUAUUUGACUUUGUAGAAAUCAUUGCUGAGCCUUCUAAUGUUUUAGGCUCUAACAUGACUUCUCGUCUAUUCUCUUCAGCUCGAAUCAAUGAUAUUGUCUCAUUCAGAGAUGAUAAUCUUUCCUUCCCCAAUAUCUGGACUCUGACCUGAUCAAAUUUCACAUUCAGACCUGCAAGGAAGUCAUAAACUUUAUCCUUUUCGAUAAAGUUUUUCAAGGUGGCUGCAUCUUCACUACACACAAUCUGAACACACCGAUAUUGGUCCAGUUCCUGCCAUAGAUUUUGCAGAAGGUUGGCAUAUUGAGUAACAGAAAGGUUGCCCUGUUUAGUGGCUGAGAUCUUUGUUUUGAUCUCAUAGAUUAGGGCAGCAUCUCCUGCCUUUGAAUAGGUCUGUCGAAUAGUAGUCCAUAUAUCUUGAGCUGUUGGUAGGAACAUGCAAGUAUCACUUAUUUCAGGUAACAUGGAGUUCCACAGCCAUGACAUGACCAUAGAAUCCUCUUCAUCCCAAGCAGCGAAUUUAGGAUCUCCCUUUUUCGGUCCAGUUCCAAGCAAGUGGCUGAUUUUGCCCUUUCCUUUGAGAAAUGUUUGAACAAAUUGUGACCACUUCAAAUAGUUUUUCCCGUUGAGCCUGUAGGCUGCCUGGAUACUCUGCAAAUCCCCUGUUUGUGGAAUAUUUGAGGUCUCUUCUGAUUUGGUAUUGGAGUGGAUUUCUGAUGUUUCAGUUUCAGACAUCGUGGAGGUUUCAAAGAAAAAUUGGCAAUGAAGGCCUAAUGAAAAAAAAUCAGCAAUGAAGGCUGGAAAUUGCACUUGGCAAUAAAGACUUGAAAAGAGGAAAGCACUCAGCAAUGAAGGCUGACAAGAAGAGGUCCGAAGAGCAAAAGCUCUGAUACCAUGAACAAAAAGAAAAACUGAAUUGUUCUGUCAUAUCUUUUGUUCUGGACUCUGUACAACAUUUAUACAAAUGGAAUUUGACUUUUGUCAAUUCCAUGAAAUCUGUAAUUUCCUAAAAAUUAGGAGCUAAUUUAUUCUAUCCUAAAAUACAUUAGGAGUAAAUUAUUCUAUCCUAAAAUAGAGCAGAAAUCAUGGGAUAUAGCAGAAAUCAUGGGAUAUACAUAGAAAAAGAUAUUCUAGAUUUUCAACAGUAUUCAAAUCUGAGUCUCAGCUUCUAGAAAUUAUAGAGAUUUACAAGAAAGCACAUUGUAACAGGGUCCAUUAGAGAUUGGUUUUGGCGAUUCUACAAGGUUUAAGCAAAGAGUACCGGUACAUGGUAGGCUUAGUAAGAAGUUAGGUGAAUUGUGUAGAACUUUGUCCUUUGCAUGCAAAUAUUGGACUCUUAUUUAACGACUUUGUACUUUAGCAUUUGAUUUGAAUAUUCUAAUGGACCACUAGUUGAAAAAAGUAUAUGCGCAUCUCAUUUGAUUCGGGGAUUUUGUUGGACUCUCUUUCUUUAAUCUUGGUGAGUCACUUGGAAUGUCUUUGGGUUUGUUAAAAAUCUGGAAUAUUGUCAAUAGAUUUCAGAUAAGUACUGUACAGGAGAAAAAAAGUUCAAUUAGAAACUCAACCUUUGGUUUCCCAAAUCCCAAAAAUUGCAAGAAAAAGGUAAUUUUUUUUUGGGGGGAGGGUUUGCCCAUACCAUUUUAUAAGGCUUAAGGCAAUGAUUAAAUAGAACAUAGUAAGUUUGGUUAGAAGUUUGCUAGCGUUGUUACAAGGAUUAAGGCUGUGAUCAAAUAGUGCUUAGUGCAGAGUUUUCUCACCAUUUUACAAGGAUUAAGGCAAUGAUCAAAUAGAACAGAUAAAGUUUAGUAAGAAGUUUGCUAGUGUUGUGCAGAGUUUAGAUCCUUUGCAGGCGAUUAGAGGACUGAUAUACAAGGACAUUGCACUUCAGGAUUUAUAUUGAACGUCUAGAUGGUGACUGAGGAACUAUGUAUUGCAUCUUUAGGGAUUCUAUCCAAGUUUCUUGGGAUAUAUAUGUGGGUUUGUUACAAGUUUUGAGUAUUGGCAAUGAUUUUAUGGUUGAUAAGUAGUACAGUGGUGAAAUAAAUAGAGCAAAUAAUUAUGGCAUUUCGAAUAGAAAUUUCAGAGAUUACAAGAAAGCAUAUUGUACCAAGGUCCAUUUAGGAGAUUUUUUUUAACAAGGUUUUAGGCAAAGGGUAACCAGAACUUAGUAGGGUUAGUAAGAAGUUAGAUGAACCAUGCAGAGUUUUGUCCUUGGUCGGCAAAUAUAGGACUCAUAUAGUCAUAUGCAAUGAUGUUAGCUUAAGCAUUUGAUUUGAGUAUUCAUAUAGGCGACAUGUGAAACAAAGUGUAUGGUGCAUCUUGUUGGAUUCCAAAAUUUUGUUGGACUCUAAUUGGUCUAGGUGAGUGACUUGGAAUCUAUUUGAAUUCAUCAAAAAUCUGGAAUACUGUCAAGGAAUUUUAUGGUAGAUGAGUAGUCUACUGGAGAAAAGAAAAAUAGGUCAAUUAGAAACUGAAAGUUAAAGGUUUAGAAAUUUUAAAGAAUCACAAGAAAGCAUAUUGCAGCACGGUUCAUUUGGAGGUUGUCUUUUUACCAUUUUACAAGGCUUAAGAUAGUUUUUAGAACAUACUGAGUUUGAUUAUAAGUUUGCUGGUGUUGUGUAGAGUUUGGUCCUUUUACAAGCAAUUAGAGGACUUGCAGACAAGGAAACUACAUUUUAGGAUUUAACUUGAAUGUCCAGAUGGUGACAUGAGGAACUAGUAUUGCAUCUUUUUGGAUUCUAUGUAAUUUAGGUGAGUUACUUGGUAUUUAUCUGUGGGUUUGUACAAAUUUCGAGUAUUGUCAAUGACUUAUUGUUGAUAAGUAGUAUUGUGCUGGAAUUAACGGAUGAAAUAAAACUGGUAUUUCAAAUUUGGGACCCAGCUUCUAUAAAUGCUAGAGAUUUACAAUAGCAAGCUAUUCGAAGGUCCAUUUAGAGGUUGUUUUCAGAUUAAGGCAGUGAGCAAACCUCAACAUACUAGGCUUGGUAAAAACUUAGGUGAAUUGUGCAGAGUUUCAUCCUUUGCUGGCAUAUAUUGGACUCUCAUGCAUUGUUGUUGAAGUUUAGCAUUUGAUUUGAACAGUCAAAUGGGUGGAAGGUGGAAUAAAGUAUAUGCACAUCUUGUUGGACUCUAAUUAAUCGAAGUGAGUUACUUGGAAUCUAUUUGGGUUGUUAAAGACUUGAAAUAUUGUUAAAAACAUAGUAGUGUUCUGCAGGAAAGACGAAAAGGUCAAUUUGAAACUGAUAUUUAGGUUCUAGAUGUCCCAAGAAUUAGAAGAAAGCAUAUUGCAGCAAGGUUCUAUUAUAGGUUGUUUUUUAACAUUCUACGGCCUUUAUGGCAAAGUGUAACAAGAACAUACUAACUUUACUAAGUUGGUAGAUUUAUCUAGAGUUGAGUUCCUUUACGGCAAAUAUAGGACUCUUAUGUAAGGGCAUUGCACUUUUAGGGUUUAACUUGAAUAUUCAGAUGGUUUAUAUGUGCUUGUUGGAUUCUGAGAUUUAGUUGGAUUCUAUCUCAUGACGGCGAAUUACUUCUAUUUGGGUUGUUAAGUAUCUGGAAUAUUGUCAGUCUGUUUUAUGGUUGAUAAGUAGUGUUAUGGAGAAAAGAAAAAAAGGUCUACUAGAAACUGGCUUUUAGUUUUUAAAAUCCCAAGAAUUACCAGAAAGCAUAAAACACCCAAGAUUCAUUUGGAGGUUGUUUUUUACCAUUCUACAGGGUUUAUCGCAAUAAGUAACAAGAACAUACUAAUUUUAUUGAAAAGUCUGUUUGAUUGUGCAAAGCUUAGUUCCUUUGAUUGCAAAUAUAGGAUCCUUAUGUAAAUGCAUAGGAUUUUAGGAUUUAAAUUGAAUAUUCAGAUCAGGAUACUAGGAAUUAUGUAUUGCAUCUUUUUGGAUAUUGAGAUUAGGUUGGAUUGUGUGUAACGAAAAUGAGUUAUUUGGAAUUUAUUUGUGGGUUUGUUAUAAUGUUGGACUAUUGUCAAUAGUUUUAUGGUGGAUAAGUAGUGCUCUGGUGAAACAAAUGCAGAAAAGAAAGAAAUGUUAAUCAGAAACCGAAACUCAGGGUCUAGAUAAUUUGAAGAGUUAAAAGAAAGCAUAUUGCACCCCAUGGUUCAUUUGGAAGUUGUUUUUUGGACCAGUCUACAUGGUUUAAGGCAAAGAGUAAUAAGAAAUUAGUGGAACCGUGCAGAGUUUUGUUCCUUUGCAGGGAAAAAUUUCACUGUUGUCUAUGGAGGUCACAGUGUGGGGUUUGAAUUGACUAUUUAGAUGGUGACAAUAAGGAAGAAAAGUAUUUUGCAUCUUGUUGGAUUUUGGCAGUGUAUUAUGGAAUUAAAGUUAAUCUAGGUGAGUAAUCUGGAAUUUAUUUGUGGGCUUGUUACGAAUUUGGGAGAUUGUUUAACAAAAUUUUAUGUGAAAUAAGUGGUCUUCUGAUGAAAUAAAUUGGUGAUAAAAAGGGUGUCAUUAGAAACUGAUGCUAAGGUUUUAGAAAUUCUUUUUUUUUUUGUCAAAACGAUAAUGUAUUAUUAAAACUUGGUACUACAAAAGUUCUACAAAUGUGGGCAACUGCCCAUCAGAUCAUCUUGUGCCAUCUGUUUGAGCCACUGGGGACAGCUAAGCUUCCACAUUAUAUUCUUCACUAAUGUUGACGCAAAUUUUGCUACAUAAUGACCUAGACAAUUCCUUUUCCCACUAACAAACUUGAAAUUACAAACUGAAAACCAAUCUGCUAACUGAAUGAUGUCUUCCACUAUAGUUGUCACUGUGUGGUCCUCAAUUCUUCUUUCUUUUAUCAUGUUGACCACAUUUUUACAGUCAGAUUGCAAUUCAAUUUUCGUCUAUCCUGCAUCUUUUGCCAUCAGCUGAGCCUGUUUGAUUGCUGCAGCUUCUUCCACUAUUGCUCUUCCUUUCUUUAGUUCCUGCACUGCCCUCACUUCUACUAGUUCCCCUUUCCAGUUUCUUGCAACUAUCCCAAGUCCCGUUCUGAUCUUCUUUGCAGAAACAGCAGCAUCCUGUUAAUUCUUAUUGUAUCACACUAGAGAGGAGUCCAUCUUUGGUUCAUCAUUUGUUGUCUUGGUUGGUCCUCCAUUUUCUCCAGAUUCCCCUUGUUUACCUCUGUGUGUUCCAUCCAUUUUUUCUGAGCUCUCCUGAUGGUUGAGUUGCUGUCCAUUCUGUUGCCCUCGAACAUGAAUUUGUUUCUUGGUUUCCAUAUUUGCCAAUGUAUAUUGACUGUGAGUUCCAAGUGCCCCUCUCUAUUCUCCACUUUGCAUGCAUCUGUAAGACAUUCCCACCAUCUCUAAAAAUUAAACCUCAGAUCAUUCAAGCCUUCCCACUAUAAUGGUGCUAAUUUCCAUGUCUGUUGCGUAUUGGUGCAAGAAAAAAACGUGUUCAAGAGUUUCUACUUCCUCUCCACAACAUCUGCACAUAGGAUCACCCAUUUUUGUUCUAUGGAAUAUGCAUUUUUGAACCAGGAGUACUCUUGUAAGCAUUUCCAGAGAAAAUGUUUAUGCUUAUGUUUAAUGUUCAGGUUCCACAAACCUUUCCAAACUUUAUCCUUCCUAGGUCCAGUACUAGCCUCCUCAUGCUUUUCUUUUUCACACUGGAGUUUCUUCUUCCUCUGCUUAGCUAGAGCAUAGCCUGUUUUCACAGUAUACACCCCAGAUUUGGAAUGUCUCCAGUACAUCCGGUCCUUUCUUUGGAAGCAACUGAUAUGAAUUCUUUGUAUUUGCUCUACAUCUUCCUGACAGAAAGUUUCCUUCAGUAACUCCAUAUUCCACUUGCCACCUGAUAAAAGUUGAUCGACUGUUUUCACUCUACAAACUGUAGGUUUUCCGUUCUAACAUUGCCCUCUUCUGUAUUAGAUAGCCAAUUAUCAUUCCAUAUAAUCCACUGCAUUCCCGUCUCCAAUCCUCUUCAUUAUUCCUUUGGCUAGCAAUUCUCUUGCACUGGAUAUACUUUUCCAUACCCAACAAUCACUGUUCUUCACCUUGCUUUCAAAAAGGUUUCUAUCUCUCAAAUACCUGGCUCUGAUUACUUUGCUCAUCUGCAGGUUUGGUUGAAUUAAAAUCCUCCAACAUUGUUUGGCCAGGAGAGCUUCAUUAAAGUUUUCUAGGUCCCUGAACCCAAGUCCACCAUUUCUUUUAGUUUCAGUGAUCUUGUUCCAACUUACCCAGUGCAUUCUUUGUCCGUAUUCGCCAUUUCCCCACCAAAAAUUUGCAAUUCUUUUACAGAUCUCCUUGGAAGCUUGAAGCAUGAUGGUAUUCAAAUCUCAGUCUCAGCUUCUAGAAAUUAUAGAGAUUUACAAAAAAGCAUCAUUAGAGGUUGCUUUUGGUGAUUCUACAAGGUUUAAGCAAAGAGUACCAGUACAUACAAGGCUUAGAAGUUAGGUGAAUUGUGUAGAGCUUUGUCCUUUGCGUGCAAAUAUUGGACUCUCAUUUAAUGACUUUGUACUGUAGCAUUUGAUUUGAAUAUUGUAAUGGGCCACCAGUUGAAC
rnacentral:lncRNA from 1 species